CAGCAGCCGCGGUAAUACCGGCGGCCCGAGUGGCGGUCACUAUUAUUGGGCUUAAAGCGUCCGUAGCCGGGUUGGGAAGGCCUCCGGGGAAUCUGGCCGCUUAACGGUCAGAAUGCCGGAGGAUACUCCCAGCCUAGGGAGCGGGGGAGGCCGAGGGGAUUCCCGGGGUAGGGGUGAAAUCCUAUAAUCCCGGGAGGACCACCUGUGGCGAAGGCGCUCGGCUGGAACGCGUCCGACGGUGAGGGACGAAGGCCAGGGGAGCAAACCGGAUUAGAUACCCGGGUAGUCCUGGCUGUAAACGAUGCGGACUUUGUGUCGGACAAGCUAUGAGCUUGUCCGGUGCCGGAGGGAAACCGUUAAGUCCGCCGCCUGGGGAGUACGGCCGCAAGGCUGAAACUUAAAGGAAUUGGCGGG
rnacentral:rRNA from 1 species